AUUGAACGCUGGCGGCAUGCCUUACACAUGCAAGUCGAACGGCAGCACGGGAGCAAUCCUGGUGGCGAGUGGCGAACGGGUGAGUAAUAUAUCGGAACGUGCCCAGUCGUGGGGGAUAACGUAGCGAAAGCUACGCUAAUACCGCAUACGAUCUAUGGAUGAAAGCGGGGGAUCGCAAGACCUCGCGCGAUUGGAGCGGCCGAUAUCAGAUUAGGUAGUUGGUGGGGUAAAGGCUCACCAAGCCAACGAUCUGUAGCUGGUCUGAGAGGACGACCAGCCACACUGGAACUGAGACACGGUCCAGACUCCUACGGGAGGCAGCAGUGGGGAAUUUUGGACAAUGGACGCAAGUCUGAUCCAGCCAUUCCGCGUGCAGGAUGAAGGCCCUCGGGUUGUAAACUGCUUUUGUACGGAACGAAAGGUUUGUCUUAAUACGAUGAGCUCAUGACGGUACCGUAAGAAUAAGCACCGGCUAACUACGUG
rnacentral:rRNA from 1 species